GACGUAGGGGGCCAGCGUUGUUCGGAAUUACUGGGUGUAAAGGGUUCGUAGGCGGUGUAGCAAGUCGGGAGUGAAAUCUCUGGGCUUAACCCAGAGGCUGCUUCCGAAACUGCUGUGCUUGAGUGUGGGAGAGGCGCGUGGAAUUGCAGGUGUAGCGGUGAAAUGCGUAGAUAUCUGCAGGAACACCCGUGGCGAAAGCGGCGCGCUGGACCACUACUGACGCUGAGGCGCGAAAGCCAGGGGAGCGAACGGG
rnacentral:rRNA from 1 species